rnacentral:lncRNA from 1 species
AAGGUUUGGGGAAUAUAUUUCCUGGUAAGGUAGAUAUGUUCCUUCAUGUAAUUUAUCCUUCAUCUAAUACUUUGUUUAUUGAGCUCCCAUGUUGCUACGUGGCAGGUUACUUCAUGUUGGCAUCUUGAUGCAUCUGUACAAAUUAUGAAGCCCUUUUUUUAAUUGAUGAUGAAUGCCUUCACAGUAAGUUUUGCAUGUAGUCAACUGCAUGAAUCACUAGCAAUGUCUCAUUGUCUCAAACAUAUUUGACUUUAAAAAAGAGCUAAAACUGCUUUAAACUCAACACUUAUAAAUUCUAGUGAGUCAUGGUUUAAACAUCGUUUUUAUACAAAAAUAGAGAAGGUAAUAUUACUACAAGUUAUUUGGUUAAAUACAGUUCUCAGUGAAACCAUUAAAAGGGUAUUUUUAAACUUGUGCCCCCAGAGCUUUAAAGAAAGUAUAUCUAGAUUAAUUUGUAUACAAUUAACUUGGCUUAGUGUUUUAAGUAAGUCACACCAUUCUGUUUGGACCAGGAUCCCUGACACUCCAACAGACACAUGUUCAGUUUCUGCAGACAUACUCCGUCCAUUGUGAUAAGGACAAGUGGAAUUACAUACUUAGCUCAUCCAAAGUAUGUUGGAGAUCAUCAUGAAUGUUGGAUAAACCAAAAGCAGAGUCCUUCUCACACCAGCACUGACCAUCAUGCUCUGAUGGGCAUUAAAAAGUCAGCACUGAUGCUAGUGCUGGUUUGACAGAAGCCAUGACAGCAGUACCAUGCAGAACGCAGUGAUGAGACUGAUGCUGUGGCUUACUCCAUUUGCGGUUAUCAUUAUAGCUGUAAAUGAGUGGAAAGUACAAUGAAGCUUUAGUAAAAGAAUUAUGUAUACUUCAAAAUAUACUUCAAAACAUUUUCAACAAGCAGCACAUUAUAUUCCUUACUUAUGCCAUUCACAGUGAUAGAGUUUGUUUCUAUGUCAAAGCCAGAAACAGUGGAAGACGCAUUGAAAAACACUGCUCCAAUCUCGUUGCCACUUGGAACUGAUGUGCUAAUAAAGCCCAUCUGCAGCUGGUUGAUAAUUGAUCCUGAUCUGUGGGGACAAAAGGAAACAUAAUUGCUCCACAUACAAGAUCAGGCAACUUAUUGUAAUUUGUAAUAUGGUCUCUCCCAAAAAUUACCUGUAUGCUGUCACAUCAAUGGUUUUAAAUGAGUCGAAUGCCUUCUGAAACAAAGGUUUAAGCUGCCAAAACAGAAAAUAAAUUGUAUUAUACAUUUCUUCUGUCAUUUAAAAAUGCCUUUCCACGUGUAAGGUACUUUGACUAACUUGACCUUUUAUUUGUGGACAGUCUGAGGCAAGAUUAUCCCAUUUUCCUCAUAAUUUGCAUGAUUUACUGUGGACUAGUUCACCUUUUUAAGGACAGGGGAAACAAGCUAUACUUGGUUCCUCAAUAGCUUUUCAGAGUUUGGAAACAAAUUAUGUUUUGAGGUCUUUAUCUCUGAUCAAGCAAUUAUGACUAUGUAUCAGUCAUAUAACAUGCUAUAAGUGGUAGACUGAGAGUUAGACAAAAGUUUUGUUUCUAUGCCAAAAUCUGGAUGAUCAAAGUCCAAAUAGCACCCUUUUUCUUUAUAAACAGAUCCAUGGUAAGUCUUCUUGUCCCCCACUGUUUUGUAAAGAGAAGCAAGACCAAGCAAAUAAUCUUAAUCUUUCCUAAUUCACAAGACACAAUCACAAGUACAGUUAAGGUUUAGAGUAUGAGGUCUUAGUCCAACAAUUAAGUUCCUUGGGUACAAAGUUGAGCUUCUGUAUAAAGUAAAGGGUGUACCAGUUGUUUCUGUGGUGAUGUCUGAGACUUACCUGUGAUAUUAUUAAUUGUGAACGUUUUUGAGCAGCUGCAGAUGAUAGAUUCCCCAAAUCACUUGUGAAAUUCUGCUGAAGGGAUCUGAAACUUGCAUUAACGAGUUUAAUUCCAGUAGUUGUGGGCGCAGCAGUGGCAGGUGUGGCAGUUGUAUUUGCAUCUGGAACUGGACCCUCUAUUCAUAUAGUUUUUUUUUUUUAGAAAUAAAGUAAUGAUUGUUUUAUUUAAUCGACAAUAGUUCCAGAUUCACAGUCUUAAUGAGAAUGUGCAGGAUAUACAUCUUGUUUUGUUUACUCACCCUGGACUAUAAAAGAACUGGCAACAAAGCUACUGUUGGUAUUACUUGCAGCUUCUAUGAAGGUCUCAGCAACAAGGGAAUUUGUUGGAAGAUCUGAGGCUGUGGUGUUUUGAUUGAAGAUGACAGCCAUUUCUGUACCAACACCAUCAUUUCGUGUUGUCACAGGUCUGUAUAAUGAAACCAAUGGAACAUCAGGCAGUUGUGUUGUUAAGAGUGACACUAACAAUGUAUAUAAGAAAGUCAUUAUCAUAUUUAUAAGGCAAGGUCAGUUAAUAGAGUUAAAAAGAUUUAUUUACCUAAACCUUAUCAAUAGACACCUCAAAAAUAGAUUCCCAAAGGUCUUUCUGUAAACUCUAUCACACUGUAAAAAAAUAAGAAAAACACCCAAGGAAAAGUGACAUUAGGAUUAAAUCCAUUGUUUGAAUCAAUCUCUCUUAAAAAUUUGUGCAUAAAACUGAUGUUAAAUAAAACUUUGGAAAUACUUACUUCAUCCUCAGAUUCUCUUUUAAGGUCUUUAAAUUUAAGGCUUUCUGGAUUUUCCAGAUCAGCUGUAAAGAUUACACCUCUUAAUAUAGCAAAAAGUUUAUACUGUGGAGCAGCUGUAGCUGUUGAAGCAACUUUAGUUGUUUUAAUAGUUGUGGCUGGUGCAGCUGUUGAAGCAGCUUUAGUUGAUUUAGCAGCUGUAGCUGUUGAAGCAGCUGUAGUUGUUUUAAUAGUUGUGGCUGGUGCAGCUGUUGAAGCAGCUUUAGUUGAUUUAGGAGCUGUAGCUGUUGAAGCAGCUUUAGUUGUUUUAAUAGUUGUGGCUGGUGCAGCUGUUGAAGCAGCUUUAGUUGAUUUAGCAGCUGUAGCUGUUGAAGCAGCUGUAGUUGUUUUAAUAGUUGUGGCUGGUGCAGCUGUUGAAGCAGCUUUAGUUGAUUUAGCAGCUGUAGCUGUUGAAGAAGCUGUAGUUGAUUUAGUAACUGUGGUCGUAAUCGUGGUUGUAGGGGUGGUUGUUGUGGUUGUUGGAGUGGAUGUAAUAAUUGUUGUUGCUGGUGUUGUUACUGUUGUGGUUCUUCGAGCAGCUGUUGUUUUUGUUGUUGUUGGGACAGCUGUCGUUGUUGUUGUUGGGGCAGCUGUUGUUGUUGCUUGAGAGGUUGUUGUGGUUGUUGGAUUAGUUGUGGUGGUUGUUGUAGCGGUUGUUGUUGUGGGUGUUGGAGCAGCUGUUGUGGUUAUUGGCUUAGUUGUUGUGGGUGUUGUAGCAGCUGUUGUUGUGGUUGUUGAAACAGUUGUGGUGGUUGUUGUAGGGGUGGUUGUUGUGGGUGUGGUUGUGGUUGUUGGAGCAGCUGUUGUUGUUGUUGGGGGAGCUGUUGUUUUUGUUGUUGUUGGGGCAGCUGUUGUCGUUGCUUGAGAGGUUGUUGUGGUUGUUGGAUUAGUUGUUGUGGUUGUUGUUGUAGGGAUGGUUGUUGAUGUUGGAGUAGCUGUUGUGGUUUCUGAAGUGGUUGUAAUGGUUGUUGUAGGCGUGGUUCUUGUUGUUGGAGUAGCUGUUGUGGUUUUUGAAGUGGUUGUAAUGGUUGUUGUAGGGGUUGUUGCUGGAGUGGAUGUAAUAAUUGUUGUUGUUGAUGUUGUUACUGUUGUGGUUGUUGAAGCAGCUGCUGUUGUUGUUGGGGAGCUGUUGUUUUUGUUGUUGUUGGGGCAGCUGCUGUUGUUGUUGUUGUUGGGGAAGCUGUUGUUUUUGUUGUUGUUGGGACAGGUGUUGUUGUUGUUGUUGGGGAAGGUUGUUGUUGUUGUUGUUGUUGUUGGGGCAGGUGUUGUUGUUGUUGUUGGGGCAGGUGUUGUUGUUGUUGUUGGGGAAGGUGUUGUUGUUGUUGUUGUUGGGGCAGGUGUUGUUGUUGUUGUUGGGGCAGGUGUUGUUGUUGUUGUUGUUGGGGCAGGUGUUGUUGUUGUUGGGGCAGGUGUUGUUGUUGUUGUUGGGGCAGGUGUUGUUGUUGUUGUUGUUGUUGUUGUUGGGGGAUGUUGUUGUUGUUGUUGUUGGGGAAGGUGUUGUUGUUGGUGUGGUUGUGGUUGUUGGAGCAGCUGUAGUUGUUGUUGGGGGAGCUGUUGUUUUUGUUGUUGUUGGGGCAGCUGUUGUUGUUGUUGUUGUUGUUGUUGGGGCAGGUGUUGUUGUUGUUGUUGUUGUUGUUGGGGCAGGUGUUGUUGUUGGGGCAGGUGUUGUUGUUGUUGGGGCAGGUGUUGUUGUUGUUGUUGUUGGGGCAGGUGUUGUUGUUGUUGUUGGGGUUGUUGUUGUUGUUGUUGUUGUUGGGGCAGGUGUUGUUGUUGUUGUUGGGGCAGGUGUUGUUGUUGUUGUUGGGGCAGGUGUUGUUGUUGUUGUUGGGGCAGGGUGUUGUUGUUGUUGGGGCAGGUGUUGUUGUUGUUGUUGUUGUUGUUGUUGGGGCAGUGUUGUUGUUGUUGGGGCAGGUGUUGUUGUUGUUGUUGUUGUUGUUGGGGAAGGUGUUGUUGUUGUUGUUGGGGGGAAGGUGUUGUUGUUGGGGCAGGUGUUGUUGUUGUUGUUGUUGUUGUUGGGGCAGGUGUUGUUGUUGUUGUUGUUGGGGCAGGUGUUGUUGUUGUUGUUGGGGCAGGUGUUGUUGUUGUUGUUGGGGAAGGUGUUGUUGUUGUUGUUGGGGCAGGUGUUGUUGUUGUUGUUGGGGCAGGUGUUGUUGUUGUUGGGGAAGCUGUUGUUGUUGUUGUUGUUGGGGCAGGUGUUGUUGUUGUUGUUGGGGCAGGUGUUGUUGUUGUUGUUGGGGAAGGUGUUGUUGUUGUUGUUGUUGUUGUUGGGGAAGGUGUUGUUGUUGUUGUUGUUGUUGUUGUUGUUGUUGUUGGGGAAGGUGUUGUUGUUGUUGUUGUGGUUAGGUGUUGUUGUUGUUGUUGUUGUUGUUGGGGCAGGUGUUGUUGUUGUUGGGGCAGGUGUUGUUGUUGUUGUUGUUGUUGUUGUUGGGGAAGGUGUUGUUGUUGUUGGGGCAGGUGUUGUUGUUGUUGUUGUUGUUGGGGCAGGUGUUGUUGUUGUUGUUGUUGUUGUUGGGGCAGGUGUUGUUGUUGUUGUUGUUGGGGAAGCUGUUGUUGUUGUUGUUGGGGCAGGUGUUGUUGUUGUUGUUGGGGCAGGUGUUGUUGUUGUUGUUGGGGCAGGUUGUUGUUGUUGUUGUUGUUGGGGCAGGUGUUGUUGUUGUUGUUGUUGGGGAAGGUGUUGUUGUUGUUGUUGGGGCAGGUGUUGUUGUUGUUGGGGCAGGUGUUGUUGUUGUUGUUGUUGGGGCAGGUGUUGUUGUUGUUGUUGGGGAAGCUGUUGUUGUUGUUGGGGCAGUUGUUGUUGUUGUUGUUGUUGGGGAAGGUGUUGUUGUUGUUGUUGUUGUUGUUGGGGCAGGUGUUGUUGUUGUUGUUGUUGUUGUUGGGGAAGGUGUUGUUGUUGUUGGGGAAGCUGUUGUUGUUGUUGUUGGGGCAGGUGUUGUUGUUGUUGGGGAAGGUGUUGUUGUUGUUGUUGUUGUUGGGGCAGGUGUUGUUGUUGUUGUUGUUGGGGCAGGUGUUGUUGUUGUUGUUGGGGAAGCUGUUGUUGUUGUUGUUGUUGGGGCAGCUGUUGUUGUUGUUGGCGUAGCUGUUGUUGUUGUUGUUGGGGCAGGUGUUGUUGUUGUUGAGGCAGCCGUUGUUGUUGUUGUUGGGGAAGGUGUUGUUGUGUUGUUGUUGUUGUGGGCAGGUUGUUGUUGUUGUUGGGGCAGCUGUUGUUGUUGUUGUGGGGCAGGUGUUGUUGUUGUUGGGGAGCUGUUGUUGUUGUUGUUGUUGUUGGGGCAGCUGUUGUUGUUGUUGUUGUUGGGGCAGGUGUUGUUGUUGUUGGGGCAGGUGUUGUUGUUGUUGUUGUUGUUGGGGCAGUUGUGUUGUUGUUGUUGUUGUUGGGGCAGGUGUUGUUGUUGUUGGGGCAGGUGUUGUUGUUGUUGGGGAAGCUGUUGUUGUUGUUGUUGGGGCAGGUGUUGUUGUUGUUGUUGGGGCAGGUGUUGUUGUUGUUGUUGGGGAAGGUGUUGUUGUUGUUGUUGUUGUUGUUGGGGAAGGUGUUGUUGUUGUUGUUGGGGCAGUUGUUGUUGUUGUUGUUGGGGCAGGUGUUGUUGUUGUUGUGUUGUUGUUGUUGUUGUUGUUGUUGUUGUUGGGGCAGGUGUUGUUGUUGUUGUUGGGGCAGGUGUUGUUGUUGUUGUUGGGGCAGGUGUUGUUGUUGUUGGGGAAGCUGUUGUUGUUGUUGUUGUUGGGGCAGGUGUUGUUGUUGUUGUUGUUGUUGUUGUUGUUGGGGCAGGUGUUGUUGUUGUUGUUGUUGGGGCAGGUGUUGUUGUUGUUGUUGUUGUUGUUGUUGGGGAAAGUGUUGUUGUUGUUGGGGCAGGUGUUGUUGUUGUUGUUGUUGUUGGGGCAGGUGUUGUUGUUGUUGUUGUUGUUGUUGGGGCAGGUGUUGUUGUUGUUGUUGUUGGUGAAGGUGUUGUUGUUGUUGUUGGGGCAGGUGUUGUUGUUGUUGUUGGGGCAGGUGUUGUUGUUGUUGUUGGGGCAGGUGUUGUUGUUGUUGUUGUUGGGGAAGGUGUUGUUGUUGUUGGGGAAGGUGUUGUUGUUGUUGUUGGGGCAGGUGUUGUUGUUGUUGGGGAAGGUGUUGUUGUUGUUGUUGUUGUUGGGGCAGGUGUUGUUGUUGUUGUUGGGGCAGGUGUUGUUGUUGUUGUUGUUGGGGCAGUUGUUGUUGUUGUUGUUGGGGAAGGUGUUGUUGUUGUUGUUGUUGUUGUUGGGGCAGGUGUUGUUGUUGUUGGGGCAGCUGUUGUUGUUGUUGUUGGGGCAGGUGUUGUUGUUGUUGGGGAAGGUGUUGUUGUUGUUGUUGUUGUUGGGGCAGGUGUUGUUGUUGUUGUUGUUGGGGCAGGUGUUGUUGUUGUUGUUGGGGAAGCUGUUGUUGUUGUUGUUGUUGGGGCAGCUGUUGUUGUUGUUGGCGUAGCUGUUGUUGUUGUUGUUGGGGCAGGUGUUGUUGUUGUUGAGGCAGCUGUUGUUGUUGUUGUUGGGGAAGGUGUUGUUGUUGUUGGGGCAGCUGUUGUUGUUGUUGGGGCAGCUGUUGUUGUUGUUGUUGGGGCAGGUGUUGUUGUUGUUGGGGAAGCUGUUGUUGUUGUUGUUGUUGUUGUUGGGGCAGCUGUUGUUGUUGUUGUUGUUGGGGCAGGUGUUGUUGUUGUUGGGGCAGGUGUUGUUGUUGUUGUUGUUGUUGGGGCAGGUGUCGUUGUUGUUGUCGGGGCAGGUGUUGUUGUUGUUGUUGUUGGGGCAGGUGUUGUUGUUGUUGUUGGGGCAGGUGUUGUUGUUGUUGUUGGGGCAGGUGUUGUUGUUGUUGUUGUUGUUGGGGCAGGUGUUGUUGUUGUUGUUGGGGCAGGUGUUGUUGUUGUUGUUGUUGUUGUUGUUGGGGUAGGUGUUGUUGUUGUUGUUGUUGUUGGGGCAGGUGUUGUUGUUGUUGGGGAAGGUGUUGUUGUUGUGGUUGGGGCAGGUGUUGUUGUUGUCGGGGCAGGUGUUGUUGUUGUUGUUGUUGUUGUUGGGGCAGGUGUUGUUGUUUUUGUUGUUGUUGGGCAGCUGUUGUUGUUGUUGGGGCAGUUGUUGUUGUUGUUGAGAAGUUGUUGUGGUUGUUGGAUCAGUUGUGGUUGUUGUUGUUGGGGUGGUUGUUGUUGUUGGAGUUGUUGUGGUUUCUGAAGUGGUUGUUGGUUGUUGUCGGGGGGUGGUUCUUGUUGUUGUUGUUGGGGCAGGUGUUGUUGUUGUUGUUGUUGGGGCAGGUGUUGUUGUUGUUGUUGUUGGGGCAGGUGUUGUUGUUUUUGUUGUUGUUGGGGCAGCUGUUGUUGUUGCUUGAGAAGUUGUUGUGGUUGUUGGAUUAGUUGUGGUGGUUGUUGUAGCGAUUGUUGUUGUGGGUGUUGAAACAGUUGUGGUGGUUGUUGUAGGGGUGGUUCUUGUUGUUGGCGUAGCUGUUGUGGUUUUUGAAGUGGUUGUAAUGGUUGUUGUAGGGGUGGUUGUUGUGGUUGUUGUCGGGGCAGGUGUUGUUGUUGUUGUUGUUGGGGAAGGUGUUGUUGUUGUUGUUGCUGGUGUUGUUACUGUUGUUGUUGUUGGAGAAGCUGUUGUUGUUGUUGGGGCAGCUGUUGUUGUUGCUUGAGAAGUUGUUGUGGUUGUUGGAUCAGUUGUGGUUGUUGUUGUAGGGGUGGUUGUUGUUGUUGGAGUAGCUGUUGUGGUUUCUGAAGUGGUUGUAAUGGUUGUUGUAGGGGUGGUUCUUGUUGUUGGCGUAGCUGUUGUGGUUUUUGAAGUGGUUGUAAUGGUUGUUGUAGGGGUGGUUGUUGUGGUUGUUGGAGUGGAUGUAAUAAUUGUUGUUGCUGGUGUUGUUACUGUUGUUGUUGUUGGAGCAGCUGUUGUUGUUGUUGGGGCAGCUGUUGUUGUUGCUUGAGAAGUUGUUGUGGUUGUUGGAUCAGUUGUGGUUGUUGUUGUAGGGGUGGUUGUUGUUGUUGGAGUAGCUGUUGUGGUUUCUGAAGUGGUUGUAAUGGUUGUUGUAGGGGUGGUUCUUGUUGUUGGAGUAGCUGUUGUGGUUUUUGAAGUUGUUAUAAUGGUUGUUGUAGGGGUGGUUAUUGUGGUUGUUGGAGUGGAUGUAAUAAUUGUUGUUGUUUUUGCUGUUGUGGUCGUUGGAGCAGCUGAUGUUUUUGUUGUUGUUGGGGGAGCUGUUGUUUUUGUUGUUGUUGGGGCAGCUGUUGUUGUUGCUUGAAAAGUUGUUGUGGUUGUUGGAUUAGUUGUGGUGGUUGUAGCGGUUGUUGUUGUGGGUGUUGGAGCAGCUGUUGUGGUUAUUGGCUUAGUUGUUGUGGGUGUUGUAGCAGCUGUUGUUGUGGUUGUUGAAACAGUUGUGGUGGUUGUUGUAGGGGUGGUUGUUGUGGGUGUUGGAGCAGGUGUGGUUGUGGUUGUUGGGGAGGCUGUUGUUGUUGGGGGAGCUGUUGUUUUUGUUGUUGUUGGGGAAGAUGUUGUCGUUGCUUGAGACGUUGUUGUGGUUGUUGGAUUAGUCGUGGUGGUUGUUGUAGGGGUGGUUGUUGUUGGAGUAGCUGUUGUGGUUUUUGAAGUGGUUGUAAUGGUUGUUGUAGGGGUUGUUAUUGUCGUUGUUGGAGUGGAUGUAAUAAUUGUUGUUGCUGUUGUGGUUGUUGGAGCAGCUGUUGUUUUUGUUGUUGUUGGGGAAGCUGUUGUUGUUGGAGCAGCUGUUGUUUUUGUUGUUGUUGAGGCAGCUGUUGUCAUUACUUGAGAAGUUGUUGUGGUUGUUGGAUUAGUUGUUGGAGCAGCUGUUGGUGUGGUAAUUGGCUUAGUUGUUGUGGGUGUUGUAGCAGCUGUUGUUGUGGUUGUUGAAACAGUUGUGGUGCUUGUUGUAGGGGUGGUUGUUGUGGUUGUUGGAGUGGAUGUAAUAAUUGUUGUUGCUGUUGUUGUAGCAGCUGUUGUUGUUGGGGCAGCUGUUGUUGCUUGAGAAAUUUUUGUGGUUGUUGGAUUAGUUGUGGUGGUUGUUGUAGCGGUUGUUGUUGUGGGUGUUGGAGCGACUGUUGUUGUGGUUAUUGGCUUAGUUGUUGGUGUUGUAGCAGCAGUUGUUGUGGUUGUUGAAACAGUUGUGGUGGUUGUUUUAGGGGUGGUUGUUGUGGAUGUUUGAGCAGAUUUUGUUGUGGCCACUUAAGACAAAGAACAAAUAUAUUUACUUGGAUAUAUUAUUGAAACAUUUUUAAUUCCACAUAAUUGAGUGUUUGACUUUAUUUAAGUUUACUUGAAUUUUUCCAUCCUUAAAAUCUUAUUUGUCACUUUUUUCAUCUUAAAUAGAGUUACCUGUCAAUUACUGGUAAAAAAAACAAGUUCUCACUUAAAGACUAGGGAGAU